GUGGGGAAUUUUGGACAAUGGGCGAAAGCCUGAUCCAGCCAUGCCGCGUGCAGGAUGAAGGCCUUCGGGUUGUAAACUGCUUUUGUACGGAACGAAAAGACUCCUUCUAAUAAAGGGGGUCCAUGACGGUACCGUAAGAAUAAGCACCGGCUAACUACGUGCCAGCAGCCGCGGUAAUACGUAGGGUGCAAGCGUUAAUCGGAAUUACUGGGCGUAAAGCGUGCGCAGGCGGUUAUAUAAGACAGAUGUGAAAUCCCCGGGCUCAACCUGGGAACUGCAUUUGUGACUGUAUAGCUAGAGUACGGUAGAGGGGGAUGGAAUUCCGCGUGGAGCAGUGAAAUGCGUAGAUAUGCGGAGGAACACCGAUGGCGAAGGCAAUCCCCUGGACCUGUACUGACGCUCAUGCACGAAAGCGUGGGGAGCAAACAGGAUUAGAUACCCGGGUAGUCC
rnacentral:rRNA from 1 species